rnacentral:rRNA from 1 species
GACGAACGCUGGCGGCGUGCUUAACACAUGCAAGUCGAACGGAGUGGCGAACGGGUGAGUAACACGUGGUUGAUCUGCCUUGCACUCUGUGAUAAGCUUGGGCAACUGGGUCUAAUACCGGCUCGUGCAAGCUGAGCUCGCGGCCUAUCAGCUUGUUGGGGGGGGAAUGGCCUACCAAGGCGUCGACGGGUAGCCGGCCUGAGUGGGUGUACGGCCACAUUGGGAAUGAGAUACGGCGCAGACUCCUACGGGAGGCAGCAGUGGGGAAUAUUGCAAAAUGGGCGGAAGCCUGAUGAAGCGACGCCGCGGGGGGGAGGACGGCCUUCGGGUUGUAAACACCUUUCGACAGGGACGCGGUACCUGUAUAAGAAGCACCGGCUAACUACGUGCCAGCAGCCGCGGUAAUAC